rnacentral:rRNA from 2 species
GACUUAAGCAUAUCAAUAAGCGGAGGAAAAGAAACCAACAGGGAUUGCCUCAGUAACGGCGAGUGAAGCGGCAACAGCUCAAAUUUGAAAUCUGACCCCUUCGGGGCCCGAGUUGUAAUUUGUAGAGGAUGCUUCGGGUGCGGCGCCGGUCUAAGUUCCUUGGAACAGGACGUCAUAGAGGGUGAGAAUCCCGUAUGCGACCGGCGGCCAACCCCGUGUGAAGCCCCUUCGACGAGUCGAGUUGUUUGGGAAUGCAGCUCAAAAUGGGUGGUAAAUUUCAUCUAAAGCUAAAUACCGGCCAGAGACCGAUAGCGCACAAGUAGAGUGAUCGAAAGAUGAAAAGCACUUUGGAAAGAGAGUCAAACAGUACGUGAAAUUGUUGAAAGGGAAGCGCUUGCAACCAGACCUGCCCGCGGGCGAUCAGCCGUUAUUCUUAGCGGUGCACUCGUCCGCGAUCAGGCCAGCAUCGGUUCGGGCGGCCGGAUAAAGGCCUCGGGAAUGUAGCUCCCCCCGGGGAGUCUUAUAGCCCGGGGUGCAAUGCGGCCAGCCCGGACCGAGGACCGCGCUUCGGCUAGGAUGCUGGCGUAAUGGUUGUAAGCGACCCGUCUUGAAACACGGACC